rnacentral:lncRNA from 1 species
GUCGGCUACCGCUGCCACCGUCCCGCCUGCCGCCCCGGCCGGCGAGGGUGGCCCCCCUGCACCUCCUCCAAAUCUUACCAGUAACAGGAGACUGCAGCAGACCCAGGCCCAGGUGGAUGAGGUGGUGGACAUCAUGAGGGUGAAUGUGGACAAGGUCCUGGAGCGGGACCAGAAGCUAUCGGAACUGGAUGAUCGCGCAGAUGCCCUCCAGGCAGGGGCCUCCCAGUUUGAAACAAGUGCAGCCAAGCUCAAGCGCAAAUACUGGUGGAAAAACCUCAAGAUGAUGAUCAUCUUGGGAGUGAUUUGCGCCAUCAUCCUCAUCAUCAUCAUCGGUGAGUGGA